AUUGAACGCUGGCGGCAGGCCUAACACAUGCAAGUCGAGCGUGAAAGGGCUUCGGCCUGAGUAAAGCGGCGGACGGGUGAGUAACGCGUAGGAAUCUACCUGGUAGUGGGGGAUAACGUUCCGAAAGGGACGCUAAUACCGCAUACGUUCCGAGGAAGAAAGCAGGGGACCUUCGGGCCUUGUGCUAUCAGAUGAGCCUGCGUCCGAUUAGCUAGUUGGUGGGGUAAAGGCCUACCAAGGCGACGAUCGGUAACUGGUCUGAGAGGAUGAUCAGUCACACUGGAACUGAGACACGGUCCAGACUCCUACGGGAGGCAGCAGUGGGGAAUAUUGGACAAUGGGCGCAAGCCUGAUCCAGCCAUGCCGCGUGUGUGAAGAAGGCCUUCGGGUUGUAAAGCACUUUAAGCGGGGAGGAAGGCCUGAUGGCUAAUAUCCAUCAGGAUUGACGUUACCCGCAGAAUAAGCACCGGCAAACUUCGUGCCAGCAGCCGCCGUAAGAC
rnacentral:rRNA from 1 species